AUGAACGCUGGCGGCGUGCCUAAUACAUGCAAGUCGAGCGAACAGACGAGGAGCUUGCUCCUCUGACGUUAGCGGCGGACGGGUGAGUAACACGUGGAUAACCUACCUAUAAGACUGGGAUAACUUCGGGAAACCGGAGCUAAUACCGGAUAAUAUAUUGAACCGCUUGGUUCAAUAGUGAAAGACGGUUUUGCUGUCACUUAUAUAUGUAUCCGCGCCGCAUUAGCUAGUUGGUAAGGUAACGGCUUACCAAGGCAACGAUGCGUAGCCGACCUGAGAGGGUGAUCGGCCACACUGGAACUGAGACACGGUACAGACUCCUACGGGAGGCAGCAGUAGGGAAUCUUCCGCAAUGGGCGAAAGCCUGACGGAGCAAGGCCGCGUGAGUGAUGAAGGUCUUCGGAUCGUAAAACUCUGUUAUUAGGGAAGAACAAAUGUGUAAGUAACUAUGCACGUCUUGACGGUACCUAAUCAGAAAGCCACGGCUAACUACGUG
rnacentral:rRNA from 1 species